GACGAACGCUGGCGGCGUGCCUAAUACAUGCAAGUCGAACGCUGAAGGAGGAGCUUGCUUCUCUGGAUGAGUUGCGCACGGGUGAGUAACGCGUAGGUAACCUGCCUGUUAGCGGGGGAUAACUAUUGGAAACGAUAGCUAAUACCGCAUAAGAGUAGAUGUUGCAUGACAUUUGCUUAAAAGGUGCAAUUGCAUCACUACCAGUUGAACCUGCGUUGGAUUAGCUAGUUGGUGGGGUAACGGCUUACCAAGGCGACGAUUCAUAACCGACCCGGGAGGGGGAUCGGCCACACUGGGAAUGAGACAACGGCCAGAAUUCUACGGGAGGGAGCAGGAGGGGAUCUUCGGCAAAGGACGGAAGUCUGAACGAGCAAAGCCGCGUGAGUGAAGAAGGUUUUCGGAUCGGAAAGAUCUGUUGUAAGAGAAGAACGAGAGUGGGAGUGGAAAGUGCACACUGUGACGGUAUCUUACCAGAAAGGGACGGCUAACUACGUG
rnacentral:rRNA from 1 species